GUGCCAGCCGCCGCGGUAAUACCGGCAGCUCAAGUGAUGUCCCAUAUUAUUGGGCCUAAAGCGUCCGUAGCUGGCCGACCAAGUCUCCCGGGAAAUCCGCCCGCUUAACGGGCGGACGUCCGGCGGAAACCAUACGGCUUGGGACCAGAGGACCCGAGGGGUACGUCGGGGGUAGGAGUGAAAUCCCGAGAUCCUCGACGGACCGCCGGUGGCGAAAGCGCCUCGGGAAGAUGGAUCCGACGGUCAGGGACGAAAGCUUGGGUCUCGAACCGGAUUAGAUACCCGGGUAGUCC
rnacentral:rRNA from 1 species